rfam:Thermaerobacter marianensis DSM 12885, complete genome.
GGCACCCUGCGGUGCGCGUGGUGGGCGGAAAGUCUUGAUCCAACACCAAGAACAAGGGAGCCCGGCUCUCCGCGGCCUGCGUCCAUGCCCCCACGGUCAGGGGACGGGCAAGACGGUCGUGGGAGGGCACCCACCUGUGGGGGAAGGGGUUCAAAGACUCUCGCGCCACGGCACCCGCGGGGUGCCC